GCGUAACACGUGAGAAACCUGCCCCCCAGACCGGGAUAGCCCAGGGAAACUUGGAUUAAUACCGGAUACUCUCUCGGGACCGCAUGGUCCCUUGAGGAAAUGGUCCGCUGCUGGGGGAUGGUCUCGCGGCCUAUCAGGUUGUUGGUGAGGUAACGGCUCACCAAGCCGAAGACGGGUAGCUGGUCUGAGAGGACGAUCAGCCACACUGGAACUGAGACACGGUCCAGACUCCUACGGGAGGCAGCAGCAGGGAAUAUUGCACAAUGGGCGAAAGCCUGAUGCAGCGACGCCGCGUGCGGGAUGAAGGCCUUCGGGUUGUAAACCGCUUUCAGGAGGGAAGAAACUGACGGUACCUCCAGAAGAAGCUCCGGCCAACUACGUGCCAGCAGCCGCGGUAAUACGUAGGGAGCGAACGUUGUCCGGAAUUAUUGGGCGUAAAGGGCUCGUAGGCGGUUCAACAAGUCGGCCGUGAAAGCCCGGGGCUCAACCCCGGGACGCCGGUCGAUACUGUUGUGACUCGAGUUCGGUAGAGGUGAGUGGAAUUCUCAGUGUAGCGGUGGAAUGCGCAGAUAUUGAGAGGAACACCAUUAGCGAAGGCGGCUCACUGGGCCGAUACUGACGCUGAGGAGCGAAAGCGUGG
rnacentral:rRNA from 1 species